GUGAAUCAUCGAAUUUUUGAACGCAAAUUGCACUCUCUUCUGAGAGUAUGCCUGUUUGAGGGUCAGCCUAAAAAAAAAUCGACAUUGUCGCUGUUUCUCGGUGACAUUCCUCGGAAAUUGGUUCAUCUUAAACCUUUUGGUUUUAAGCGGCUCAAAAUUUUCUUUACGAUUCCACUAACGAUUCUACGAUUUUACUUCUUACACGUUUAGGGUAUCGAUCUUUAUUACACGUGGCCGUUGCAUCUGCUCUCGUCCAUAAAUAUUUCGUUAACUUACCUCAUACAG
rnacentral:misc_RNA from 1 species